GCGCCUGUGGCUUAAUUGGAUAAAGCGUUGGCCUCCGGAGCCAAAGAUUGCCGGUUCAAAUCCGGCCAGGCGCA
rnacentral:tRNA from 1 species